CGGAUUUACUGGGCGUAAAGGGCGCGUAGGCGGUCAGCACAAGUCAGUUGUGAAAUCUCCGGGCUUAACUCGGAAAGGUCAACUGAUACUGUGCGACUAGAGUGCGGAAGGGGCAACUGGAAUUCUCGGUGUAGCGGUGAAAUGCGUAGAUAUCGAGAGGAACACCUGCGGCGAAGGCGGGUUGCUGGGCCGACACUGACGCUGAUGCGCGAAAGCCAGGGGAGCGAACGGG
rnacentral:rRNA from 1 species